UUUCUUUCACCGGAGCUUGCUCCACCGAAAGAAAAGGAGUGGCGAACGGGUGAGUAACACGUGGGUAACCUGCCCAUCAGAAGGGGAUAACACUUGGAAACAGGUGCUAAUACCGUAUAACAAUCGAAACCGCAUGGUUUCGGUUUGAAAGGCGCUUUUGCGUCACUGAUGGAUGGACCCGCGGUGCAUUAGCUAGUUGGUGAGGUAACGGCUCACCAAGGCAACGAUGCAUAGCCGACCUGAGAGGGUGAUCGGCCACAUUGGGACUGAGACACGGCCCAAACUCCUACGGGAGGCAGCAGUAGGGAAUCUUCGGCAAUGGACGGAAGUCUGACCGAGCAACGCCGCGUGAGUGAAGAAGGUUUUCGGAUCGUAAAACUCUGUUGUUAGAGAAGAACAAGGAUGAGAGUAGAAUGUUCAUCCCUUGACGGUAUCUAACCAGAAAGCCACGGCUAACUACGUGCCAGCAGCCGCGGUAAUACGUAGGUGGCAAGCGUUGUCCGGAUUUAUUGGGCGUAAAGCGAGCGCAGGCGGUUUCUUAAGUCUGAUGUGAAAGCCCCCGGCUCAACCGGGGAGGGUCAUUGGAAACUGGGAAACUUGAGUGCAGAAGAGGAGAGUGGAAUUCCAUGUGUAGCGGUGAAAUGCGUAGAUAUAUGGAGGAACACCAGUGGCGAAGGCGGCUCUCUGGU
rnacentral:rRNA from 1 species